rnacentral:rRNA from 1 species
AUUGAACGCUGGCGGCAUGCCUUACACAUGCAAGUCGAACGGUAACAGGUCUUUCGGGAUGCUGACGAGUGGCGAACGGGUGAGUAAUACAUCGGAACGUGCCUAGUAGUGGGGGAUAACUACUCGAAAGAGUGGCUAAUACCGCAUGAGAUCUAUGGAUGAAAGCAGGGGACCUUUGGGCCUUGUGCUACUAGAGCGGCCGAUGGCAGAUUAGGUAGUUGGUGGGAUAAAAGCUUACCAAGCCUACGAUCUGUAGCUGGUCUGAGAGGACGAUCAGCCACACUGGGACUGAGACACGGCCCAGACUCCUACGGGAGGCAGCAGUGGGGAAUUUUGGACAAUGGGCGCAAGCCUGAUCCAGCAAUGCCGCGUGCAGGAUGAAGGCCUUCGGGUUGUAAACUGCUUUUGUACGGAACGAAAAGUCUUGGGUUAAUACCCUGGGAUCAUGACGGUACCGGAAGAAUAAGCACCGGCUAACUACGUG